rnacentral:rRNA from 1 species
CCUACGGGAGGCAGCAGUGAGGAAUAUUGGUCAAUGGGCGGAAGCCUGAACCAGCCAAGUCGCGUGAGGGAUUAAGGCCCUGCGGGUCGUAAACCUCUUUUGCCGGGGAGCAGAGGUCCGGACGUGUCCGGGCCGGGAGAGUAACCGGAGAAAAAGCAUCGGCUAACUCCGUGCCAGCAGCCGCGGUAAUACGGAGGAUGCGAGCGUUAACCGGAUUGAUUGGGUUUAAAGGGUGCGUGGGCGGACAUUUAGGCCGGUGGGCAAAUGUCGGGGCUCAACCCCGGCCUGCCGUCGGAACUGGGUGCCUUGAGUGGGCGAGAAGUAUGCGGAAUGCGUGGUGUAGCGGUGAAAUGCAUAGAUAUCACGCAGAACCCCGAUUGCGAAGGCAGCAUACCGGCGCCCUACUGACGCUGAGGCACGAAAGUGCGGGUAUCGAACAGGAUUAGAUACCCGUGUAGUC